GCUUCCCUAGUCUAGUGGGUUAGACGGCCUAUGAGUUCGUCGCAAGUUCAAGCCUUGCAGGGAGCA